rnacentral:rRNA from 1 species
CAGGAUAUUGCCCUAGUAACGGCGAGUGAAGCGGCAAAAGCUCAAAUUUGAAAUCCGUCAUUUGAUGGAGUCUGUAAUUUGAAGAUAAUUUUUCUGGGAGUGGCCUUGCUCAAGUUCUCUGGAAUGAGACGUCAUGGAGGGUGAGAAUCCCGUGAUGCGAGGGUACCACUACUAUGUAGAGGAUUAUCGACGAGUCGAGUUGUUUGGGAAUGCAGCUCAAAGUGGGUGGUAAAUUCCAUCUAAAGCUAAAUAUUGGCGAGAGACCGAUAGCGAACAAGUACUGUGAAGGAAAGAUGAAAAGAACUUUGAAAAGAGAGUGAAAUAGUACGUGAAAUUGUUGAAGUGGAAGGGUUUAAAGUUAGACAUGGCAGUUUACGCUCCACAAUCCUUUGGGACUGUGUACUCGUUUUCUGCCGGGCCAACAUCAGUUUCGGUGGAUGUACAAAAGCUUGGGAACGUAGCAACUUGUUGUAUUAUAGCCCUUGCUAAUGCUUCCUACCGGGACUGAGGACCGCGCAUUUGCUAGGAUGUUGGCGUAAUG